CCACCAGGACCCCAUGGGCCCCCAGGACCUAUGGGACCUCAUGGCUUUCCUGGACCAAAGGGGGAGCCUGGUUUGCACGGUAUGAAGGGCAUGAGAGGGGAACCAGGACACAAAGGGGACCGUGGACCAUUGGGCCUCCCGGGCAUGGACGGACCUCCAGGUCCAGCUGGUCCAGCUGGACCAAAGGGUGACGUAG